GCCAUCUUAGCUCAGUUGGUAGAGCGGUUCAUUCGUAAUGAACAGGUCGUCAGUUCGAGCCUGAUAGAUGGCU
rnacentral:tRNA from 1 species